rnacentral:lncRNA from 1 species
GGAGAGAAGGCACCGGAAGGGAGAGGCAGAAGCCGCGGAGCCGGGGGGGCGGCUGCUGAAGAGAGAGGGGAGGGGAAGUUGAGUGAUGGCCUGAGAAAAGGCUACGAAAAAGAAAAAGGCGCCCUUCUGGGCAGAAGACUUAGAGGAAAAUGGUGCCCUCAUUGGGCGAGGUGGGGUCCGAAUGAGGGGAGGAGGCGGAGGGGCACCUGUGUGCCAAAGUGAGGGGGACGAGGCCCGCCCUGACCUGAGAGGACUGAUGGUGUGAGGGGAAGAAACCGUGCCACCACCCUCGAGCCUAAGGGAAUGAAUUCGAGUGAGCUCUUCAGGAAAGUACUCCAGGAACUGAGUCAUAACAGGAGUUUCACAGAGGAUUUUAUACCUUUGGGCUGUGGCAGCAUGUGGUAAGAGCACUGGGUGUUCAUGUUCUCAGGUCUUAUGAAAAUAAAAAACAUUACUGAAAUAUUAAUAUCUUAUAGAGUCAUCUAUGGAAAGAAUUUUAUUAAACUGCUUUAUUAGUUCACGAAGAAGAUAUUUAUUGAACACCUCUUAUGUGCCAUGCAUUGUUCCAGGUGCUUGGGAUAUAUCAGUCAACAAAAAAGACAAAAAUGUCUGUCUUCAUGGAGUUUACAUUCUGGUGUUCCAUUUCACAUGUGUGAUAUUUGCUAGAGCUUAUAUUACAAAGUACCACAGACUUGAUGGCUAAAAACAACAGAACUUUAUUUUUCUUACAGUUUUGGCUAUGGGAAGUCCAAGAUCAAGGUUCAACAGAGUUGGUUUCUUCUAAGGGGUCAGAGGGAAACAUCUGUUUCAGGUCUCUCUCUUUGAGUUUUAUGAGACUUAUAUGUCUUCUUGUCUUUACAGUGUCAACUCUCUGUACGUGUCUACGUCCAAAUUUUCUUUUCUUUUAAGGACCCCAGUCAUGUUGGAUUAGAGCCCACCUUAAUGACUGCAUUUUAACUUAAUUACCUCUUAAAGACCCUACCUCUAAAAACAGUCACAUGGUACUGAGGGUUAGGAUUUCAACAUAUGAAUUUUGAGGGAACAGAAUUCAGCCCAUAAAACCACAUAUGACAGUGGUGUGUCCAAAUCUUCGUCUUGCCUGUUUUCUCAUAUCGAUAUCUCUGAGGUGUUCACAGUCAUUUAUGUUUCCCUGCAAAUGGUAUCCAGGUAAUCUGUUAUUACAAGUGAUUAUUUUUCUAAACGUGAUUUAUUUUUCUUAAAUAAUAAAAGGUAAGUACUUGGUUAGGAAUACUCUGCUAGGAAUGUUGCUCCAUCUAGUGACCACCAUAUUCAACUACUUUGGUCAAAGUUAUAAAAAUGAAUAAAGGGAACUGUGUUGGAAAGGGGUUCUCUUUUCAACGUGUUAUUAUUUCCUCAGCACUAAGGAUUCAUGAUAGAAAAUAUUUUUUUCCACUGUUAUAUGUGGAAAGAAAGAGAGGUCUACAUAAUAACAUUAUUUUUAAUUAUUCAAGUAAUAGCAAUAUUAUCAUUUACUGUCACCAUCAAUUACUGUUUACCUAUAUCUUCAUGAGGAAGCUGAGACUGGGUUUAAUCCCUUGCCCAAGGACUCACAGAUUAUAAGUACAGUUUCCUCCAAGUCUAUGUGACUCCAGAGUGUAAGCCCUUAACCA